rnacentral:rRNA from 1 species
AACGUAGGACACAAGCGUUAUCCGGAGUUACUGGGCGUAAAGGGCGUGUAGGCGGAGAUGUAAGUCUAUUCUGAAAGCUCCUGGCUAAACUGGGGAGAGGCGAAUGGAGACUGCAUAUCUAGAGUGAGGAAGAGGAAAGUGGAAUUCCGCGUGUAGUGGUGAAAUGCGUAGAGAUGCGGAGGAACACCAGUGGCGAAGGGCGGCCUUCUGGACAGCCACUAGACGCGUGAGACGGCGAAAGCCGUGGGGAGCAAACAGGG